AUGCCUCAGGUCCAGAAACCAAAGCCAAGACUGCCAAGGUUCCCAGGUACUGCCACAUCUACAGGGUCCUUCAAUGCAAAUGGCUUCAAAAGCCACAACACCUUCUUUGACAGCACAAAGAACCCCUACUCAAGGCCAAGAAUAUCAUCUGAUCGUUUCUGGAGUCAUCAGCAGCGAAGCUAUUACUCCUGUGUUCUGUAUGAUCAAGGGCACAUUUUCCCUCAUAUGCGCCUCGACACUGAAGCCAUUGUUGGACUUCCAUGCUUAGAAGAAGCACUUGACUGCUUUCAUGAUGCAGGUCUGCUCAGCUUUGUGACAAACAAAGAACAUUGGAACGAGGAACUUUUGCUUCAAUUCUAUGCUACCCUCCACAUUCGCGGCUACAACAGGGAUACAAAGACAUGGGUUCUCGAGUGGAUGACAGGAAAUGUUCAUCAUGAAGCCAAAGCUCUUGACAUCACUGAGCUUACAGGCCUAUCCACUCCAGGAGAGCUGUACGAACCUGAUUGUCAACUUCACCGCAAUGCACUAGAGGGCAUCUUCCAUAGGCCAUAA
rnacentral:rRNA from 1 species